GAUGAACGCUGGCGGCGUGCCUAAUACAUGCAAGUCGAGCGAACAGACGAUGAUCUCGCUGUACUGAUGUUAGCAGCGGGCGGGUGAGUCACACGUGGAUUACCUACCUAUUAGACUUGGGCAACUGCGGGAAACUGGAAUUAAUACCGGAUGAUAUUUUGAACCGGAUGGUUCAAAAGUGAAAUUCGGUGUUGCUGUAACUUAUGGAUGGAUCCGCGCUGCAUUGGCUAGUUGGCAAGGUAACGGCUUACCAAGGCAACGAUGCAUAGCCGACCUGAGAGGGGGAACGGCCACUCGGGGACUGAGACGCGGUCCAGACUCCUACGGGAGGCAGCAGUUCGGAAUCGUCCGAGAUGGGCGAAAGCCUGCCGGAGCAACGCCGCGUGAGUGAUGAAGCGCCGCGGAGCGUAAAACUCUGUUAUUGGGGAAGAACAUUUGCGCUAGUAACUGUGCACAUCGUGACGGUACCUAAUCAGAAAGCCACGGCUAACUACGUG
rnacentral:rRNA from 1 species